UGACCUAAACCCUCACCAGAGUAACAAUUGGAGGGCAAGUCUGGUGCCAGCAGCCGCGGUAAUUCCAGCUCCAAUAGCGUAUAUUAAACUUGUUGCAGUUAAAAAGCUCGUAGUUGAAUUUUUGCGUGGUGUUAAUAUUGACUAAUGUCGAGAUUGCACUUCGCUUUUGGGAUUUAUCCCUUUUUACUUUGAGAAAAUUAGAGUGUUUCAAGCAGACUUUUGUCUUGAAUACUUCAGCAUGGAAUAAUAGAGUAGGACUUUGGUUCUAUUUUGUUGGUUUGUGAACCUUAGUAAUGGUUAAUAGGAACGGUUGGGGGCAUUCGUAUUUAACUGUCAGAGGUGAAAUUCUUAGAUUUGUUAAAGACGAACUACUGCGAAAGCAUUUGCCAAGGACGUUUUCAUUAAUCAAGA
rnacentral:rRNA from 1 species